AACGAACGCUGGCGGCAGGCUUAACACAUGCAAGUCGAGCGAGGACUUCGGUCCUAGCGGCGGACGGGUGAGUAACGCGUGGGAACGUGCCUUCUUCUUCGGAAUAGCCCUGGGAAACUGGGAGUAAUGCCGGAUACGCCCUUUGGGGGAAAGAUUUAUCGGAGGAAGAUCGGCCCGCGUUGGAUUAGGUAGUUGGUGGGGUAAUGGCCUACCAAGCCGACGAUCCAUAGCUGGUUUGAGAGGAUGAUCAGCCACACUGGGACUGAGACACGGCCCAGACUCCUACGGGAGGCAGCAGUGGGGAAUCUUGGACAAUGGGGGAAACCCUGAUCCAGCCAUGCCGCGUGAUCGAUGAAGGCCUUAGGGUUGUAAAGAUCUUUCAGCUGGGAAGAUAAUGACGGUACCAGCAGAAGAAGCCCCGGCUAACUCCGUG
rnacentral:rRNA from 1 species